rnacentral:rRNA from 1 species
UGCAGUCGAGCGGAACGACACUAACAAUCCUUCGGGUGCGUUAUUGGGCGUCGAGCGGCGGACGGGUGAGUAAUGCUUGGGAAUAUGCCUUUACGUGGGGGACAACAGUUGGAAACGACUGCUAAUACCGCAUAAUGUCUUCGGACCAAAGGAGGGGAUGCUUCGGCACCUUUCGCGUAAAGAUUAGCCCAAGUGGGAUUAGCUAGUUGGUGGGGUAAUGGCCUACCAAGGCGACGAUCUCUAGCUGGUUUGAGAGGAUGAUCAGCCACACUGGGACUGAGACACGGCCCAGACUCCUACGGGAGGCAGCAGUGGGGAAUAUUGCACAAUGGGGGGAACCCUGAUGCAGCCAUGCCGCGUGUGUGAAGAAGGCCUUCGGGUUGUAAAGCACUUUCAGUUGUGAGGAAGAUUCAGUAGUUAAUACCUGCUGGAUUUGACGUUAGCAACAGAAGAAGCACCGGCUAACUCCGUGCCAGCAGCCGCGGUAAUACGGAGGGUGCGAGCGUUAAUCGGAAUUACUGGGCGUAAAGCGUACGCAGGCGGCUUGUUAAGCGAGAUGUGAAAGCCCCGGGCUUAACCUGGGAACGGCAUUUCGAACUGGCAAGCUAGAGUGUGUGAGAGGGUGGUAGAAUUUCAGGUGUAGCGGUGAAAUGCGUAGAGAUCUGAAGGAAUACCAGUGGCGAAGGCGG